GACGUAGGGCGCGAGCGUUGUCCGGAUUUAUUGGGCGUAAAGAGCUCGUAGGCGGCUUGUCGCGUCGACUGUGAAAACCCGCGGCUCAACUGCGGGCUUGCAGUCGAUACGGGCAGGCUAGAGUUCGGUAGGGGAGGCUGGAAUUCCUGGUGUAGCGGUGAAAUGCGCAGAUAUCAGGAGGAACACCAAUGGCGAAGGCAGCUCGCUGGGACGGUACUGACGCUGAGACGCGAAAGCGUGGGGAGCAAACAGG
rnacentral:rRNA from 1 species